rnacentral:lncRNA from 1 species
CACACAUAUGCUGCCUUGAUGUCUUGCAGGAAGUAGUGCUGUGUCAAGAUAUCCCUGUGUUUUCAAUGAGCUUUGCUAAAAGCUGAUGUGAGAAAACACUCUUUUGGGAGAGUAACUCUGAUAAUGCAGAAGGAAAUCCUCUUCUCCCACAAGCCCUCCAAUCCCAACGUGGCUCCAGUCCUGGUUCCGAUGUUCCUGAGGAGAAGGAGUACAGGCAGAGUGUGCUGA